rnacentral:lncRNA from 1 species
CUGGAGGCACACCAAUCGUAAGCCUGUGCGUACCCCUAGACACUCCCCUUAUGCUGCCCUAUAACAUCUUUUGGGAGCCCCUAGGAGCCGUCUUUGCUAGCCAUCUGCCAUGGUGGGUGGAUGAAAGACCCGAGCUAACAUGGGGUUAGCUCGUUAAAUUACAAUAAAGCCUCGUGCAGUUUGCAGCAAGCUCUCGAAUCCGCCUGGUGAUUGGGGUGACCGUGAAUGUGGCCUGGGACCCCGGAUACUUGAGUUUUCGGGGGGUCUAACAUUUGGGGGCUCGUCCUCGAUUUGCGACCACCCUUCACCUGAGUGGAUACGAUCUUGGAGUCUUUGCUGAAGGAAAUAACAUAGGUUUCUAGCAACUAUGAAUAAAGUCGCUAUGAACACAGUGAGGAAGCAUCCUUGAGUGUGGGAAGCCACAGCCCCAAGAUGGCGCCUGGCUGGAUGCCAGGGAGACUGAGCUUAGCUGUAAACAAGCCUUAUUUGGAAGCCUUAGUGGAUCUGAUGUGCCUCCUCCAGCUGUGACCUAUGCAGGAUCACCAGAAUAAACCAUCCUGAGUCAAGCAACCCAGUCACAAAAAGACAAACAUGUCAACAGGUUCUACCUUAAAUGCCCUUCUAUGAGAUUGAUGACUACCUUAUAUACCAUCGUAGAGCCUUCAUCCAGUAGCUGAUGGAAGCAGAAGCAGACUCCCACAGCUAAACACUGAGAUAGAACCUGGAAGCAAACUAGAUGCCCCUCAACUGAAGAAUGGAUAGAGAUAAUGUGGUACAUUUACACAAUUGAGUACUACUCAGCUGGGGGAAAAAACAAUGGAAUCUUGAAAUUCAAAGGCAAAUGGAUGGAACUAGAAGAAACCAUUCUGAAUGAGAUAACCCAGUCACAAAAAGACAAACAGGCCUUCACACAGCAGCUGGUGAAAGUGGAAGCAGACACCCACAGCUAAACACUGAACUGAACUGGAAUCCAGUUUCAGAUGAAGAGGAGUGAUGAUCAAAGUGGUCAACACCAAGCUGAUGAAACCCACAGAAACAGCUGACCUGAACAAGGGGGAACUCUUGGUUCCCAGACUGAUAGCUGGAAAACCAGCAUGGGACUGAUCCUGACCCAAUGAACGUGGGUGUCAGUGAGGAGACCUGGGAAAUGUAUGGGGCCUUUUGUAGUAGAUCAUUACUUAUCCCUCGAAUAGGAAUGGACUUUGGGAGCCUAUACCACAUAGAGGGAUACUCCCUGAUCUAGACACAAGGGUGUGGGCUUAGGCUCUAUCCCAAAGGAUAUGACAGACUCUGAAGACCCACUGUGGAAAGCAUCACCUUCCUGGGCAGCAGAAAUGGUAUGGGAUAGGUAGGAGGUUAGUGGGGGAAGCAGGGGAGGAGGGGAGGCAGAGGGAACUGUGGUUGACAUGUAAAAUAAUCUUGAUUCUAAUUAAAAUAAAAAUGUAAAGAAAGAAAGAAAAAACACAAUUGGAGCUAUUAGGAAAUGUAGACAGAGCCACAAACAAAGGGAGUUUAUUACAUUUACUGGUUGACCUACAAGGAGUUGUGUUCUGAUGUAGGAAGGAAAAAAAUCUUUCACUUAUGGUGUAUGAAAUUGAGCAAAACAACAUUGCUUUAAACAGUAAUUGAGUUUUCUUAUGUAAGAAAAACAUUCCCUCUGAUUUAGCAGGUUAAUUGAAUUUGAUUCCUCCAUUUUUGCUUGUGUCUUUCCAUUUGUGCUGAAAUUUGACAGUUACCAGUUUUAUGCUGAGAGAGAUACAAUCACUAGGAUGUAUUUCAAAAACCUUUGAAUUCUCUGUCAUUAAAAGUAAACAUGUAUAUGCUUUCUACCAUUCUUCUUUCCCCCUCCACCCCACUCACAUGGAUUGUUGAAUCCUAGCCUAAGCUGUGGAUGAUGUUGAUCCCACCUGUGAAUUGCUCAGUAUUCCAUUAGCCAGCAGUUUCUGAGGACUUUUUAGAAAUACAAAUUCAUUAGCUCCAUCCACACUUAUUGAACUGGAAACUAUAGGUAAUAUCAGACCAUCAGUUCUACAAAGCCCUUCUGGGCACUUUAAUGUAGGCUUGAAUGUGACGGCCACUGGGAGAUUGCCUUCCACAAUCCUCAAGUUGAAUGGUCCUAUUCUCUCACAGAAUUUCUUUCUUUCUUUUGUUUUUGGAAGCAGACUUUUUUAAAAUUUAAAUCAGAAACAAGCUUGUUACCAAUGUCAAUCCCAAAUUCCUCUCCCUCCCCUCCUUUCCUGCCUCUCCACCCACCCCACAUCCCAUCCCCUCUCAGCUCACCAGGGAGGAUGAGGCCUUCCAUGGGUGACUUUCAAAGUCUGUCAUAUCAUUUGGAGCAAUGCCUAGACCCUCCACCAUAUGACUAGGAUGAGAGAGUAUCCAUCUAUGUGGAAUGGACUCCCAAACUCCACUCAUACACCAGGACCAAACACUGAUCCACUACUUCCCCUUCUCCUGCUCCCCCCCCCACCUUCUUCCACCGUACCCCCAUCAACUUCUCAGAGAGAGUAAGGUUUCCCAUGCAGAGUUAACAAAGUCUUCCAUAUCACUGUGAGGCAGGACAAAGGCCCUCCCCCUAUAUCUAGGCUGAGAAAGGAAUCCUUCCAAAGAGAAUGGGCUCAUUUAUCUUUGGAUCAAUCCUGGUCUCACUGCCAGUAGCCCCACAGACUGCCCCAGCCAUACAACUCUCACUUGACUAGGGAAGACCAGCUCCAAGGACCCACAACCAGGUGGCUCUCUAUGGUCCAAUCAGAAGCAAGAGAGAGUGAGCUAUCAUCAAGGACCCCAGACCUAGCCUUCCCAGUCACAUCUGCACCUAUGACCAUGCCUAAAUGGGCAUGGUCAGUGCACCAGGUGUGGGCAAGGGGGAUCUCUCACUACAAUCCCCCUUUUAGUGUAAAGAAAAAAAUUAGACUUAGUAAAAAGCUAUAUACAAAGAUAGCAAAUAUCAAGUUAUACAGUAGGAGAAGGAAAAGUAAGAAUAUACACCCUUAAAACCUAUUGCCAUUGAAGCAACAAGUGUAAAAUGGGAAGAGCUACAGUCAUCCACAUUCAGGGGGCCUAUUUUGGUCCUAUGCAGGUUCCCCUGCUCUCAGUCCAUAAUCAGUGAGUUCCAACUCGCUCAGGUCAGCUGUUUCUAUGGGUAUCCCCAAAAUAGUCUUGACCCCUUUGCUCAUAAUAUUGCUCCUACCACUAUUUGGACUCUGGGAGCUCAUCCCAGGGCUUCCAUGGCUCUGUCUUUUAUUUUAUUUUUAAAUUUUUUUUA